CAAAAUAAAUAGGUCUUGCCUGCUUGCAUAGAGUGACAGGUGCAUCACACAUCUAGUUAUAACUACCCUAAUAGACUAGACCUGGCUUAAGCCCCAUGUGGUGCGAGACAAGGCAACCGUGUUUGACAUCCACCUUGUAACUGCCUUUGUCCAGUUUAUUUUGUAUUAGCACUUUUACUAUUUGUUUUUCUUUCUAAAUUGAAUGUUAAUAGUAAGACGGAAUUAAUUAUUGGUCCCGCCCGGAGGUUUCCGGCCGGGCGCCUUUGAGCGACGCACUGAAGAAAACUUUACCGCGAAAGAGACUGAUUAUUCCGCUGUUGUCAUGUUUAAGUAAAUAAGUUGGCAGGAAAAUAUACAGAAGAUGAUUCAGGAGAUUUGAAAGGAUGUUUAGCACCUCUUUGUGAUAAGCAGCAAUGAGUUCUCAUGGGUUGACCAACAUUAAAGCCCUGUGUUCUAACCAAGACCUCUUGCUUCAUGCCUGUCACUGGGGGAGCUACACACCUGUCAAAUCCCGGGCCGUGUACAUUUUGCACCACCCUCUGUUGGAGCCCCAUGCACUGUCAAUACGCCUCAACCAGGAUUCGAUUGAAGCAAAGUUGCAGCUGCACUGCAAGCUGGAACGCUGCGGUACGUUACCGGUCGCUGUGUUAAAGGAUUAUAAUUUGAAUCGCCACUACACGACGCAUGGGAACAAAUACAGAAAUCUGUCUGAUGAGGAGCGCGCGUGGGAGUCUGAUGUGUUGCUAGCAAAACAGCAAACCCAACAAGGACUUUUUACGAAACUUCACACCCCCAGAGAUGCAGCCGUCAGGACAAGAAUGAUCCACCAAACGCCUGACAGUGACACAGAGGGGGAGGAGAACCCCUACCGUCACCUGCUCCACACCUGGCCAGCCCAGCGACAACCCCGGAAGAGGCAACAACAGAGGUGACGUCACGAACCUGCAGUGAGUCAGCCCCAAAAAUAGUUUUGGGGGGGCUAAUGGGGUGCCCGAGGGGGGGCCUAGCCCAAGCCCUUUCAUACCACCUCCCAAUGCCAUGGGACUGGAUAGGCAGUCGUCUAGCCAUCCGGUGCACCCCAGUCGCUGCUCUGCAGCCUGCUCUACGUUUGGUGCCAUCUCCAAGGUGCCAAGCAACCUCUCUACGUCUAAGUUCCAACCCCCUCUAAAUGCUGAGCGCCCAGGAGACAAAUAAGCGGUCAUUGGGUCCGAUUUAUAAGUAAAAAUGUUACUGCAAAAACACCAACACAAAACGCCCUUUGAAUGCAUUUAAAAAUAUUUUUCAUUAAACACUAGAAAACAGAACAUUUAAACAUUAUAUUAGGAAUUUUUCAUUGAACACUAGAAAACACAACACUAUAUUU
ensembl:lncRNA